CCAAGGGCGAUGCCUCAGUAGCGGCGAGUGAGCGGCAAAAGCUCAAAUUUGAAAUCUGGCGUCUUUGGCGUCCGAGUUGUAAUUUGAAGAAGGUAUCUUUGGGCCCGGCUCUUGUCUAUGUUCCUUGGAACAGGACGUCACAGAGGGUGAGAAUCCCGUGCGAUGAGAUGACCCGGGUCUGUGUAAAGUUCCUUCGACGAGUCGAGUUGUUUGGGAAUGCAGCUCUAAGUGGGUGGUAAAUUCCAUCUAAAGCUAAAUAUUGGCGAGAGACCGAUAGCGAACAAGUACAGUGAUGGAAAGAUGAAAAGAACUUUGAAAAGAGAGUGAAAAAGUACGUGAAAUUGUUGAAAGGGAAGGGCUUGAGAUCAGACUUGGUAUUUUGCAUGUUGCUCUCUCGGGGGCGGCCGCUGCGGUUUACCGGGCCAGCAUCGGUUUGGAGCGGCAGGAUAAUGGCGGAGGAAUGUGGCACGGCUUCUGCUGUGUGUUAUAGCCUCUGACGAUACUGCCAGCCUAGACCGAGGACUGCGGUUUUUACCUAGGAUGUUGGCAUAAUGAUCUUAAGUCGCCCGUCUUGACCACCGGACCA
rnacentral:rRNA from 1 species